UACGGAGGGGGCAAGCGUUGUUCGGAGUUACUGGGCGUAAAGCGCGCGUAGGCGGUGCGGUAAGUCAGGGGUUAAAGGUUGCAGCUCAACUGCAGUAAGGCCUUUGAUACUAUCGUGCUAGAGUGUCAGAGAGGAUGGCGGAAUUCCCAGUGUAGCGGUGAAAUGCGUAGAUAUCGGGAGGAACACCAGUAGCGAAGGCGGCCAUCUGGCUGGUAACUGACGCUGAGGUGCGAGAGCGUGGGGAGCAAACAGG
rnacentral:rRNA from 1 species